UGGGCUCAAGUGAUCCUCCCACCUCAGCCUCCUAAGUAUCUGGAAUUACAGGUGUGCACCACCACAACCAGCUAAUUUUUAAAUUUUUUGUAGAGAUGGGGUCUUGCUAUGUUGCUGUGGCUGGUCUCAACCUCCUGAUAUCAAGCAAUCCUCCUGCCUCAGCCUCCCAAAGUGCUGGGAUUACAUUCGUGAGCCACUGCACCCAACCUAAUGUGUGGAGUUCUAGAUGGGGUAAUGGGACAACCUCACUCCAAAGGUCAUGUAUAGAGGUCAGGAAAUUGAGCUGGCACUACUUACUUCCCAACACAAUAAUUUUCCUGCGAGUGUCCUCACUCAGGAAUGGCUUCAUGAGGUUGUAGCCCACAGGGAACAGUUUGGUAGCUGGAGAGAUAGAAGUAAGGAUAAUGGGAAGAAAAGAAUUACAUUGGGCAACCCCCUCCAUAAUGGUUAUAGCCAAUGAUACAGAGGAGUCAUGACUAACCCUGGUCAAUUCCAGUGUCUGUCCUGCACCCAACAAACCAUCCAACCAACCAGUCAACCAGCCAACAAACAGCCAACUAACCAAUCAUGCAUCAAUCAUGCAAUGCAACCAUCAACCAACCAUUCAGCCAACAAACCAGCCAGUCAUUCAAACUUCUAAUCAGCCACCUAUUCAGUCAACCAAUAAACCAGCCAACCUACCAAACAGCCAACCAACUAUGCAACAAACCAACCAACUGACAACAAAUAGUCAAACAAUUUAACUUCUAACCAGCCAACCUACCAAAUAGUCAACCAUCUAACAAAUCAGCCAAACAGCAAAGCAAUCAGCCAAUGGAACAGCCAGAUAACCACUCAACUAACUGUGUUCUCUAGCCAGCCAACCAUCCAAAUAACCAGCCAGCCAACCAUCCAAAUAACCAGUCAUCCAACCAUCCAAAUAACCAGCCAGCCAGUCAGUCAAAUAACCAGCCAGCCAACCAUCCAAAUAACUAGCCAGCCAGUCAGUCAAAUAACCAGCCAGCCAACCAUCCAAAUAACCAGCCAGCCACCAUCCAAAUAAUCAUCUAAGAUUCAGCCAAACAACAAACCAGGCAACCAACUAACCAACCUGCUAACCAGGCAACCAACUAACUAGCCAUCAAAACAACCUACCAACCAAAAUGCCAACCAGCCACUCAAUCAGUCAACCAAGCUAAGAACUAGCCAACCAAGCAGCCAGCCAAUUCUCCAACGAACCACCAGUUAGUCAACUAGCCAAGCAACCAACUGGCCAGUCAGCUGAACAACCAAUCAAGCAACCAACUGAUCAACCAACUAGCCAAUCACCAAACAUCCAUCCAUCCUUUCAUCUACCCACAACAAUUACCCAAAUACCUAUGGAGCAUCCACCAUGGACCCAGGCCUGUGAGGGCUACAACAAAAGUGGAGAAUCACAGCCCCUGGCUUCAAGGAGCAGAAAACUCAGCCAGUAAAGCAGGAUGAGCACAAAUAAAACAGCUGGAGAUCCCUAAAAGGCAGCAAACAGGGAAGGCUGCACCAGUUGCCAGUGCCAGAAGCAGUCUGGGGAGGGAGAGAUCAUCAUGGACAGGAGAAAUAAGGGAGGAUCCCUGGGAGAGCUGGGACUGGAGCUGCCUUCUCUUGCAGUAAGGCCAACCCUAGAAGUUACCAUUUAUUGAGAACUUACUCUAUGCCAGGCAUUCUAAGUGAUUUGCAUACAGCCAAGAAACCAACCUGCCUCACAACAAUCCUGGGACAAAGACAGUGUUAUCACCCUCAGCGUACAGAUGAGGAAACAGAGGCACAAGUAAGUGAAGUCAUUUGUCACAUACCUUUCACGAUGAGCAUGAACUUCAGGGUCUCUGGGUAAUUCUCUUCAAGGAGGCCAAAGAACUGUGGAACCAAGAGAGAUCCCUUCAGAGAGCACAUCACAUCUUCUCCUACCUCCAUCUCCUGUGCAAUCUCCUGUUGGGAGGUUUCAGAUGGCUCUGGAGGGUUUCCCUUCAUGCCAUCACCUCCCCUGGCCUCUGGAGGGAACCUUCUCACCUCAUACUAUUAUA
rnacentral:lncRNA from 10 species